rfam:Pteropus alecto contig75253, whole genome shotgun sequence.
GUCUACGGCCAUACUACCCUGAACAAGCCCUAUCCUGUCUGAUAUCGGAAGUUAAGCAGGGUCAGGCCUGGUUAGUAUUUGGAUGGUAGACCACCUAGGAAGACCAGGUGCUGUAGGCG